GUAUGUUUCCACUUGUGCUGAACUGAAGAUAGAACAAAAACACUUGCAUUCUAAGAAAGUACAGAGAUGUAGAAGAUGUAGAUGAAAGUGCCAUUGCAGUAUUUAUGUAGAAUAAAAUACAAUUGCAGUAUAUGCUAGCAACAGGUUGCAGUAUAUAUGUAGAACAAUAACCCUUCCAGAAUGUCAUCAAAUAACUACCAUUUCUGUCUUCAUGAUUUUUGCCAUUCAAUAGUUGCAUAUGGGGAAUUCAAAAAGCACGGUUGGCGAACAUCAACCUGAAGAUGACGUAACUACAGGUAUGAUGCACUCUACCAUGUUUUCGUUUAGUUGCGAGACCUGAAUAUAUGACAGUAUGCAUAAUGUCUUCCAGGUCUUACAAGCGGGAGAAGUGAUGCAGAACACAAUGCGAGCAUCAUACCCGUAGCUGAAAUUGUUGAUAACGUCUACUCGACGGAAUCAGGUAUAAUACUGUCCGGAGAUUGGUUAUAAAUGUUGCUUCACAUCGAUUUCUGAAAGUGGCAGAAUGCAUUAUGUGUUGCAGUACUUACGGGCGGGACAAAUGUUGGAGACUACAAUGCAAACUUCAUACCCUUACAUGCAGGUAUAAGACUGUGUCAAGAUUGCUGCUAAUGUUUCGUGCAUACCGUAUAUUUUGUUGAUUGCUAAGAUGUAGGGCGGGAACCUUCAAACGACGGGAUUCCGUCGUAUUCUGAGAAUAAUAAGGAUGGUACGACUAAGCUACGAGAUGAUACUCAAGGUAUUCACAGGCAUGCUUAUACAGCUUCCAAAUCGACAUCUCCCAGAUGAGCUUAAUGGGCUUUGUGGUUUUUACGCUUAACGUAAUGCAGAUGACAAAACUUCCGAGCAGCAUGCAACAGUAGCUGUAUUUAAUGAAGAAAAAAAACGUUGGCGAAACAAGGGAGCAGUUCAACGCACAGAGGCGUGAAUCUUAUCGGAAGAAAAAAGAGGAGGAUAUGGUCAGGUUACAAGAGUAUAAUCAGCCAUCCCUUUCAAAGACUGGUAAGUAUUUAAGCGUGAUUUUGCUGACUACUCUUGGUUUUUUCUGAAUACCUAUAGUAUGCAAAUUAAUCGUUAUAGUAACCUGACUUCAUAGAUGUUCCCCGUGUUGGUUUCAUAGAUGUUGUAUCAACAUCGAUACUUUUUUUGUUCUCUAACUCUCAUACCUAUUGUAAAAAUGGUAGACCAUAGGGAUCUUAUCAACGCGUGGAGGCGGGCAUCUUAUCGCACUAAGAAGUCAGAUGGUUUUAUAAACCAUCUAGACGAUGGGCCGAUUGUUCACCGACGUACUCUAUGUGAUAUCACAAAUGUUCAACAACCUUCAUAUGUGAUCCCUGGUACUUAUUUGGUAGAUUUACAAUGUCGUUAAUUAUAUGUGCGUAUUUGACAAUCAUACUAUUUGUGAUUAUGUUUAACUUCUCUUUGCUUUCUGAACGCCCGUGGUGGAUAACUAUAGGAACUAAUGUUGGGGCAGAUCAUAUGUUGGGGCAGCUAAUCAAACCCACGCGAGAUGAUAAGCACAGGAAAGUUGAUCUUCGUCCCCUUUGUAAUUCAAAUGACCCAGCUAGCUCGGUUGAUACAUCAAUCUCGCAUAAUGAAUCAACAUAUCCUCCUAAAGCUAUGGGAGCGUCUGAUGUAAUUGCAGAUAAAAAUAUAAAAGGUAAAAUGAUUGUGCUUUUUCCAUACUCGUUUGCUGUCAUGUUGUUUUUACCUUUCGCUUUUGAGAGAAACCCAAGGAAGACAUCAGUAGAUAACUUGAAUGAUAGCACAGAAAAUACGCAAGUAACAGAAGAAGAACGCAAACGAGACCGUAAAAAAGCUUUGAGGAGAGCUGCAUAUCGGUAGAGAAAAGAUCGGAAUCUCCAAGAUGAACAUGCACAGGCCCUUAUUUUAUCUGGUAACCUCUAAAGGUUUUGACCAUUAUAUUCAGUACCCGACUUCAUGUCUUAAUGAUUAAGUUUUCCACAUGUUUUCAUCAAUUUGUUUAACCUUCCAACCCAACUAGCUCCAACUAUACAUCAUUCUCGGUUGAUGCGAUGACAUUUCAUGCUACAACUACUGUCACAUCUGGUCUCAUUAAUGACAUGGAGGUACAAGAUGUGGUCUUGAAUAACACCCAAGAAACAAAG